GGGCUUGUGGUACAGUGGUAGCACGUUCGCUUAGCAUGUAUUGAAGCCUGCGAAAGGUCCUGGGUUCAAUUCCCAGCAAGUCCA
rfam:Schizophyllum commune H4-8 unplaced genomic scaffold SCHCOscaffold_6, whole genome shotgun sequence.